rnacentral:rRNA from 1 species
GUCUACGGCCAUACCACCUUGAACUUGCCCGAUCUCGUCUGAUCUCGGAAGCUAAGCAGGGUCGGGCCUGGUUAGUACUUGGAUGGGAGAAUAGCCAAGGUAAUACGGAGCACA